AUUGAACGCGGGCGGCAGGCUUAACACAUGCAAGUCGAGCGGGGGAAGGUAGCUUGCUACCGGACCUAGCGGCGGACGGGUGAGUAAUGCUUAGGAAUCUGCCUAUUAGUGGGGGACAACAUCUCGAAAGGGAUGCUAAUACCGCAUACGUCCUACGGGAGAAAGCAGGGGAUCUUCGGACCUUGCGCUAAUAGAUGAGCCUAAGUCGGAUUAGCUAGUUGGUGGGGUAAAGGCCUACCAAGGCGACGAUCUGUAGCGGGUCUGAGAGGAUGAUCCGCCACACUGGGACGGAGACACGGCCCAGACUCCUUCGGGAGGCAGCAGUGGGGAAUAUUGGACAAUGGGGGGAACCCUGAUCCAGCCAUGCCGCGUGUGUGAAGAAGGCCUUAUGGUUGUAAAGCACUUUAAGCGAGGAGGAGGCUACUUUAGUUAAUACCUAGAGAUAGUGGACGUUACUCGCAGAAUAAGCACCGGCUAACUCUGUGCCAGCAGCCGCCGUAA
rnacentral:rRNA from 1 species